UUUCGCAAUGCCCGAAAGGGUGACGAAGCGACGCCGCGUGAGUGAGGAAGGCCCUCGGGUUGUAAAGCUCUGUCAGGAGUUAAGAAAUAUAAGUGUGCUAAUACCGCAUUUAUUUGACGAAGGCUCCAAAGGAAGCCACGGCUAACUCUGUGCCAGCAGCCGCGGUAAUACAGAGGUGGCAAGCGUUGUUCGGAAUUAUUGGGCGUAAAGAGCACGUAGGUGGGUUUGUAAGUCAGAUGUGAGAGCCUUCUGUUCAACGGAAGAAUUGCAUCUGAAACUGCGAGUCUUGAGUGUAGGAGGGGAGAAUGGAACUUCUGGUGGAGCGGUGAAAUGCGUAGAUAUCAGAAGGAACGCCGGCGGCGAAAGCGAUUCUCUGGCCUAUUACUGACACUCAGUGUGAA
rnacentral:rRNA from 1 species